AAAGUAUGCACAGUCUGGUCCAAAGCUGCGUGGGGUGUAGCCCACAGAAAACCUAUUAUGGAUUGUCCAUACUCUGUCCAAAGGAGUUGUUCCUCCCUAGCCAUCUGCCCUUAACAUAGGCUCCUUCUCUAGCAGUAUAUAUAGACUGCUGGCUUUUCCUGUAAGAUUUAUAUUAUCUCUAGCUUCAGGCAUGUGGCUAUUCCUGUUGUUAUGAAAAGGGUAUACCACCUUAACUCCUUUUUCCUUUCAUUUUACUUCCCAUUUCCCUUAAACAGAUUGGCCCCUGAAGGUUUGUCACAGAUAGCAGUCAUCUUCUAUGUAGAAGUCAAUGUAUAUGCUGGGCUUUUUCUUAUGUAAUAUACAGCAUAUGCAACAGGAAAGUUAUAAGGCUACUAAUAUUAAAAAUGCUGUCUAUAAAUGGCACUGCAUACAGAAAUUUCUAGCUACAAUGUCCAUUUUCUUUCUAACAUGAAACCUAAGAAUUUUCUUUUUAUCUUUUAUAGAUCUUUACAGAAUUCAGUGAAUAAACCUCACUUGAACAGAAGCACAAACAUCAUGGCUCCCUGUGGCCAGAUGCUGUACUUGGAUGGUGUCCCACAGGCACUCUGUGUGUACAGCUACAAACACACACCAUCUGCACAAGAAGGCACACCUGGAAAGUGGUUUUCCUCUGGUUUUGUUAUCCUUGAUUAAACUCUGUUUUAAAGCAGAGAGCCUUAAUCAAAAGAAUUGCCUGACUGGAAGUAGCUAUGUCUGUCUUAGUUUUGUCACAGAUUCCCUCUGAAGACUGCAGGAUUUGGAUUUGCAUAACAAUUUCAAAAAAGGGCUCACUGUGGAGGAGUAAUAUUUUCAGAAGGAUUUCACCCUUAAGAGAAAAAAUCCAACUGAAUGAAUUAAAGGAGAAAAUAAUAGGGUACCACAGAAAUGUGAUAGAUUUCAAUAGCAAUUACUAUAAAAUCCUAUAGAAUUUAUUAGAAAAAUGCUUUACUUUAGUAAUAUUAUUUUAUAAUUCACAGGAAUUUCACUCCUGAAUGAACUUAAGGAAAUGUAAAAGGAAACACUGGAGGGCAAGUUUAAAGUGAUGCUACCCCACAAUUUUAGAAAAUGGAGGCCAUGUCAGUGCUUUACUUCACAAGGCUCAGCAAAUGUGAGGCUAUGUGAGGAAGAAAAAAAAGGAAAAAGAAAAAGGAAGAAUCUUUUAUACUCAGUUAUCUUUGAGAUAGGGCAGGAUCAACAAAACAUAGUGUUUAUUCUGCGCUGAAUCACACACGGGAAGGAAGAUCCAUGUGGAUUCAGGUAUAUGUAUGAAAUUACAUGUGCAUGUAUUGCAGAGAGUUUCUAGUGCCUCGUUCCAGGCCAUUCCUGAACAAAACUACAUCUCAUUGCCAGCCUAACACCAACCCCAUGCUGGAGCUCCUAGCUUAUUACAGAUCUCUAAUGGCUUCUGGUAGCGUGUAACAAAGCUCUGAGUCCCUGUACCUGUUAACAAAAUGACAAGCUGCUUCCUGCCUCUGAUCUCUCAUCCUGACCUCUGCACCACACAGAAAAGACAGGAAACUAUAUCUUUGUAAUGUGAAAACUUUUUCCCUGGCCAUUUACAGUAACCAAAAGCAACUAGAUUGAAAGGUUGAGACAAAAGCUACCAGGUAUAAAAAUAAGCUCCAGGAAAAGAAAAAGAAAAAAUAAAACCGGUACAGUUUUUGAAGCGAUCAAAUGCAGAGAAAGAGGUGUUUACUAAGUUUGCAAAUAGUCUGUGCUAACCAGUUUUAGCUUCUUAACAGCAGUGAUAUAGCUUUAAAAAGCAACAGUAGAAAAGCACUUAGUUUACUAAAUAAUAUGCUUUUUUUAUCCUUGAUGAAAGGCUGCUUCUUAUCACACAGACAUCAAGGCAAGCCACCCAGUGGUACUAAUUUCAAGCCCUGCUGCUGUAAUGCUUACUGCAUAGGAUAAAAUGGCAAUGGAUUCAAAAGAGUUAGCGGUACAUUUAAAACAGAAAUAAUACUGAAAAUUGUUAGCUUCUGAAAUAUGCAUGAGAAUUUUCGUAAAACAUCUGCUAAGAACUGGCAAAGGUCUAUAACCGAUAGUUGGGGCUGGGUGAGGCAUGGAAAUAAAGGUAAGUACCUGAAAGAUCUUUGACACUCUCAGUGGGUGUUAUGCUACGUGGUUUGUAGAUCCCUCUUACAGCAGUGUGGGUUGCUCUUUCUUUUUCCCACUUUACAUCCUUUCUCUGAAGUUGUCUGUUCAGUCAGCAAACAUGCUUCCACUUGAAGCUUCUUUGACCUGAUUUAUAUUUUAGAAAAUACACAUGUUACAAGCACAAUUGAAUGUUCAGUUCCCACUUUCACCUCUGGCACUAUUCCUUCCCCCUUUCCUGAACCAAGUCUCAGCACAUCCUUUCCCCAAGCUCAC